UUGUGAUGAGGUGAGUUACUUACACAUAAGACCUGACUUUUAUUGCAAUAUUAUUUAUUAUAUUAUUGUGUGUGUGUAUGAUGAUAGUGUGUAGUGAUCUUGCAGUGUUAUGGUAUGUCCGAGCAUACUAGCCCUACGACGGCAGUACGUCUUGGGUUCAGUGACAGUGACUGCUAGGAUGCUUGUGUGUGUAUGUAUACUGCACAUAGCUGUUGUUAA